AGAGUUUGAUCCUGGCUCAGGACGAACGCUGGCGGCGUGCCUAAUACAUGCAAGUAGAACGCUGAAGAGAGGAGCUCGCUCUUCUUGGAUGAGUUGCGAACGGGUGAGUAACGCGUAGGUAACCUGCCUUGUAGCGGGGGAUAACUAUUGGAAACGAUAGCUAAUACCGCAUAACAAUGGAUGACACAUGUCAUUUAUUUGAAAGGGGCAAUUGUUCCACUACAAGAUGGACCUGCGUUGUAUUAGCUAGUAGGUGAGGUAAUGGCUCACCUAGGCGACGAUACAUAGCCGACCUGAGAGGGUGAUCGGCCACACUGGGACUGAGACACGGCCCAGACUCCUACGGGAGGCAGCAGUAGGGAAUCUUCGGCAAUAGGGGCAACCCUGACCGAGCAACGCCGCGUGAGUGAAGAAGGUUUUCGGAUCGUAAAGCUCUGUUGUAAGUCAAGAACGGGUGUGAGAGUGGAAAGUUCACACUGUGACGGUAGCUACCAGAAAGGGACGGCUAACUACGUGCCAGCAGCCGCGGUAAUACGUAGGUCCCGAGCGUUGUCCGGAUCUAUUGGGCGUAAAGCGAGCGCAGGCGGUUUGAUAAGUCUGAAGCUAAAGGCUGUGGCUCAACCAUAGUUCGCUUUGGAAACUGUCAAACUUGAGUGCAGAAGGGGAGAGUGGAAUUCCAUGUGUAGCGGUGAAAUGCGUAGAUAUAUGGAGGAACACCGGUGGCGAAAGCGGCUCUCUGGUCUGUAACUGACGCUGAGGCUCGAAAGCGUGGGGAGCGAACAGGAUUAGAUACCCUGGUAGUCCACGCCGUAAACGAUGAGUGCUAGGUGUUGGAUCCUUUCCGGGAUUUAGUGCCGCAGCUAACGCAUUAAGCACUCCGCCUGGGGAGUACGACCGCAAGGUUGAAACUCAAAGGAAUUGACGGGGGCCCGCACAAGCGGUGGAGCAUGUGGUUUAAUUCGAAGCAACGCGAAGAACCGUACCAGGUCUUGACAUCCCGAUGCUAUUUCUAGAGAUAGAAAGUUACUUCGGUACAUCGGUGACAGGUGGUGCAUGGUUGUCGUCAGCUCGUGUCGUGAGAUGUUGGGUUAAGUCCCGCAACGAGCGCAACCCCUAUUGUUAGUUGCCAUCAUUCAGUUGGGCACUCUAGCGAGACUGCCGGUAAUAAACCGGAGGAAGGUGGGGAUGACGUCAAAUCAUCAUGCCCCUUAUGACCUGGGCUACACACGUGCUACAAUGGUUGGUACAACGAGUUGCGAGUCGGUGACGGCGAGCUAAUCUCUUAAAGCCAAUCUCAGUUCGGAUUGUAGGCUGCAACUCGCCUACAUGAAGUCGGAAUCGCUAGUAAUCGCGGAUCAGCACGCCGCGGUGAAUACGUUCCCGGGCCUUGUACACACCGCCCGUCACACCACGAGAGUUCGUAACACCCGAAGUCGGUGAGGUAACCUUUUGGAGCCAGCCGCCUAAGGUGGGACAGAUGAUUGGGGUGAAGUCGUAACAAGGUA
rnacentral:rRNA from 1 species